GUCCAGACUCCUACGGGAGGCAGCAGUGGGGAAUAUUGCACAAUGGGGGAAACCCUGAUGCAGCGACGCCGCGUGAGCGAUGAAGUAUUUCGGUAUGUAAAGCUCUAUCAGCAGGGAAGAAAAUGACGGUACCUGACUAAGAAGCCCCGGCUAACUACGUGCCAGCAGCCGCGGUAAUACGUAGGGGGCAAGCGUUAUCCGGAUUUACUGGGUGUAAAGGGGGCGCAGACGGCAGCGCAAGCCAGGAGUGAAAGCCCGGGGCCCAACCCCGGGACUGCUCUUGGAACUGCGCGGCUGGAGUGCAGGAGGGGCAGGCGGAAUUCCUGGUGUAGCGGUGAAAUGCGUAGAUAUUAGGAGGAACACCAGUGGCGAAGGCGGCUUACUGGACAGUAACUGACGUUGAGGCUCGAAAGCGUGGGGAGCAAACAGGAUUAGAUACCCUGGUAC
rnacentral:rRNA from 1 species